UACGUAGGGGGCAAGCGUUGUCCGGAUUUAUUGGGCGUAAAGAGCUCGUAGGCGGUUCGGUAAGUCGGGUGUGAAACCUCCAGGCUCAACCUGGAGACGCCACCUGAUACUGCUGUGACUAGAGUCCGGUAGGGGAGCGUGGAAUUCCUGGUGUAGCGGUGAAAUGCGCAGAUAUCAAGAGGAACACCAGCGGCGAAGGCGGCGCUCUGGGCCGGAACUGACGCUGAGGAGCGAAAGCGUGGGGAGCAAACAGG
rnacentral:rRNA from 1 species